UACGUAGGGGGCAAGCGUUGUCCGGAUUUUUUGGGCGUAAAGAGCGUGUAGGCGGCUUUACAGGUCCGUUGUGAAAACUCGAGGCUCAACCUCGAGACGCCGGUGGAAACCGUAAAGCUAGAGUCCGGAAGAGGAGAGUGGAAUUCCUGGUGUAGCGGUGAAAUGCGCAGAUAUCAGGAAGAACACCCGUGGCGAAGGCGGCUCUCUGGGACGGUACUGACGCUGAGACGCGAAAGCGUGGGGAGCGAACAGG
rnacentral:rRNA from 1 species